UAGGGAAUCUUCCACAANGGGUUCGAAAGCCUGAUGGAGCAACGCCGCGUGUGUGAUGAAGGGUUUCGGCUCGUAAAACACUGUUGUAAGAGAAGAAUGACAUUGAGAGUAACUGUUCAAUGUGUGACGGUAUCUUACCAGAAAGGAACGGCUAAAUACGUGCCAA
rnacentral:rRNA from 1 species